GACGAACGCUGGCGGCGUGCUUAACACAUGCAAGUCGAACGGUAAGGCCCUUCGGGGUACACGAGUGGCGAACGGGUGAGUAACACGUGGGUGAUCUGCCCUGCACUUCGGGAUAAGCCUGAGAAACUGGGUCUAAUACCGGAUAGGACCCUGGGAUGCAUGUCCUGGGGUGGAAAGCUUUUGCGGUGUGGGAUGGGCCCGCGGCCUAUCAGCUUGUUGGUGGGGUGAUGGCCUACCAAGGCGCCGACGGGUAGCCGGCCUGUGGGGGUGACCGGCCACACUGGGACUGAGAUACGGCCCAGACUCGUACGGGAGGCAGCAGUGGGGAAGAUUGCACAAUGGGCGCAAGCCUGAUGCAGCGACGCCGCGUGAGGGAUGACGGCCUUCGGGUUGUAAACCUCUUUCAGCACCGACGAAGCGCAAGUGACGGUAGGUGCAGAAGAAGGACCGGCCAACUACGUGCCAGCCGCCGCGGUAA
rnacentral:rRNA from 1 species